CCCCCCUCCCCGCCCCGCAAUUUUUCCUCGCUCGAGGGGAGCGUGGGGUGUGCUGCCGGCCUCUCUGAGUCGGCCCUAGCAGCGUCUUUUUCCGUUCUGUGCUUGCUUUGGUAUAAAUUAUCCGAGCUGCGAGACAUUCUGCGUACAGGACAAUGUAAUGCUUUGUCAGAGGUCUGAGUGCCCUGCGGGGUGGUUGGAAGGUGCAGUUCAAGGCUGGAUUAUCUCCAUCUGUCUUCCCUUUCCAGAUGGUCAGUCCAGAAGGUCCCAGGAUGAUCACACAGGAAAAUCCAGAGGAGAGCUGUGCCCCCAGUACCCUCCCUGCACCAUGCAGAAGACCUCAGACAGGGUUUUAUCCAGGGACUCCCAAGGGAUGUGUAGCUUUAAGUAAAGGCUUUGAGUUUGAAUGGCAGGAAUGCUUCCAAGCUGAACAGCACAUCAUGGAUCAGCAGAAGUGUUGAGACAACACAGUCUCGCUACAUGGCGAGGACAAGAUGGCUGAUCAUUUGUAAGAACGUAAACAAGGAUAGGAUCUGAGGGGCCAAUAAAAACUUUUAAAAUCAGGGACAGUGGAAUCGAAAUAUGUUAGGAGUGGGGAAGAUUCAGUAUAACCAACAAGCUCUUCCUUGACAUCUGAACAACUUGCAUCCAAUGCUGUUCAUGACAAAACCUGAGAGCAAUGUGGUCCUUCAAAUCCAAACUCGUGUCCUGCAGCCAAGGCCACCCAUUGCCCUUGGUCACAGUGGGAAGGACACCCAGGCACAUACGGAUGCAGAGGAGAGGCAGCCUGCAGAGAGAGCUGUUGUGGCAACAACAAAAUGUGAGCAAGUUAGCACCGAGAGGUGGUAAUCAUCAGCUGAUGGCUGGCUAAUCAGAGCUUUAUCAUCAUGUGAAUAAAAAUGAAGGACUCUUGCCCCCAUAAUGCUUGUUAGAGCUCCCAACAAAGGUACGUGACUACAUUUGCCAUAAGCCCCUAUGUAUUUGGCAGUGGGACUGAGCCUAAGGAUUUUGAUUAAACAUACUACCACCCACUACAAUUAAUAAUCAUACUGGAUACCAAAAUCAAAUAAACAAUGUAAGUAUUGGUUUUGUGUUACAUUUCAAUUUCUGGGUCAUCAUUUGUAUGUGCCAUGCGUGAUCUGCUGUAAUUCUCAUUCCCCUAUCUCUACUUGCCACAGUCUUCCACUCUGUUAUUCU